UACGGAGGGUGCAAGCGUUAUCCGGAUUCACUGGGUUUAAAGGGUGCGUAGGUGGGCAGGUAAGUCAGUGGUGAAAUCUCCGGGCUUAACUCGGAAACUGCCGUUGAUACUAUCUGUCUUGAAUAUCGUGGAGGUUAGCGGAAUAUGUCAUGUAGCGGUGAAAUGCUUAGAUACGACAUAGAACACCCAUUGCGAAGGCAGCUAACUACACGAUCAUUGACACUGAGGCACGAAAGCGUGGGGAGCAAACAGG
rnacentral:rRNA from 1 species